AAUAGGAAAUUUAAGAGCAUAUGGUGGAUGCCUUGACUCUAAGAGGCGAUGAAGGACGUGGUCUGGCUGCGAUAAGCUUCGGGGAGGUGCCUAGCAACCUUUGAUCCGAAGAUUUCCGAAUGGGGAAACCCUAUAGCGCAAGCUAUAGUCACACACUUGAUGUGUGACGCAAACCCGGGGAAGUAAAACAUUUCAGUACCCGGAGGAAGAGAAACUAACAAGCAUUUCCUUAGUAGCGGCGAGCGAAAAGGAAGGAGCCCAAACUCAGCUUCAUUCUCACGACGCAUUUAUGUGUUGUGGGAAUGACGCUGGGGGUUAUAAGACGACAAUUCAAUUUAUAUUGAGAGAGUUAAAAAAUAUUUUAUUAACGGAAUGCGCUGGAAAGCGCGACCCUAGAGGGUAAUAGUCCCGUACGUGAAAAUAAAAUAUCUCUUACGUUGUUGUUCUUGAGUACCUCAAGACACGAAUGGCUUGAGGGAAUUUACCGGAACUAACCGGAAAGGCUAAAUACUCUUAGAGAUCGAUAGUGAACUAGUACCGUGAGGGAAAGGUGAAAAGCAACCCGAUUAGGGUGGUGAAAUAGACCUGAAACCAUAUGCUUACAAGGAGUCAGAGCGGACGUCGCAAGAUGUUCCGUCAUGGCGUGCCUAUUGAAGAAUGAGCCAACGAGUUUAUGUAUGCUGCAGGCUAAGUGCGAGAGCACGGAGCCAUAGGGAAACCGAGUGUGAAUAGCGCGUUUGUAGUAUAUAUAAGACCCGAAGCCAAGUGAGCUUGCCAUGAGCAGGGUGAACUUGUGAGAAAUCGCAAGGGAGGCCCGAACCGAUAAGCCGUUCAAUACUUUCGGAUGACUUGUGGUAAGAAGUGAAAAGCUAAUCGAACUUGGUAAUAGCUGGUUCUCUCCGAAAUAGCUUUUGGGCUAGCGUCGAGUGUACCUUUCAGGGGUAGAGCACUGGAUGGUUUAAACAGGGCGAAAGCUCGUUAAACCAAUCAAACUCCGAAUACUGAAAGUCAAUUGCUCGGCAGUUAGACUCUGGGGGCUAAGCUCCAGUGGUCAAAAGGGAAACAGCCCGGAUCUCAAGUUAAGGUCCCUAAAUCAACGCUAAGUGCACUUAAGGUGGUAGAAUUUCUCAGACACUGAGGAGGUUGGCUUAGAAGCAGCCAUCCUUUAAAGAAAGCGUAACAGCUCACUCAGUAAGAGAUUUUGCGCCGCAGAUAAUCGGGGCUAAGCGUAGUACCGAAACUGAGGAUGCGUCGUCGAUUCGUCGAUGAUGCGUGGUAGGAGAGUAUUCUUGUCUGCUGUGAAGGAGAAGGGGUGACCCACUCUGGAGCGUCAAGAAGUAAGAAUGUUGGCACAAGUAACCGCAAUGCGGGUGAGAGUCCCGCACGCCGAAAGACUAAGGUUUCCUUGGCAAUGUCAAUCAACCAAGGGUUAGUCGGGCCUAAGGCAAUGGAGAAAUCCGCAGCCGAUGGACACAUGGUUAAUAUUCCAUGACUUCUGUAUACAGCGAUGGAAGGACGGAGUUCAGUAUGUUUUGCACAUUAUUGGAUUUGUGUUCGUGUUGUAAGAAAGCUUCAUAGGUAAAUCCGUGAACUGAUUUAAAUAUCAAUUUCAAGCAAAGCGAAGAUUUCAGAGUAAUCUGAGAAAUAAAACAAAGCGAGCUUCCAAGAAAAUUUUCUAAGCUUAUGUAUAUAGGAACCGUACCGUAAACCGACACAGGUGGUCAGCUCGAGUAGAGCAAGGCGAACGAGUGAGAGGUCCCCAAGGAACUCGGCAAAAAAGCAGCCGUAACUUCGGAAUAAGGCUUGCCCUUCUGUAAAAGGAGGGGCCGCAGCUAAAGUAUCUCUGGCAACUGUUUAUCAAAAACACAGCUCCCUGCGAACUCGUAAGAGGAUGUAUAGGGGGUGACACUUGACCAAUGCCAGAAGGUCAAAUAUCGGCCGUGCAUGUCGCAAGAUAUGUGCUGACUGAUAUAAGCCCUGGUGAAUGUCGGCCGUAACUAUAACGGUCCUAAGGUUCUGAAAUUAUCGCAAGAUGAUUUCAGAAUGACUGGGACUGUUGUAGGGCAAAGUGGCUGUUUAGAUAAACGAAAAAGUUAAAUCAUUACAUAAAAAUGCUACCUACUGUGUAGUAAUACAUAGUCAGUCAAAAUGUGGUUGGUAAGAGACCAACGCCACACAUCCGAACUCCGAAAGGUGAGGAUGAAGAUAGAGUCCGUCUGUGUUAAGGAAUAGACGAGCGAAAUUCCUUGUCAGGUAAUUGAAUUGCCUGUCCAGAGAGCGAUCUUUGGAAAAAAUCUGGCUAAUAACGGUGAAGUCCUCGCUUCGGCAGGAUAAUACCGUGGGAAGUCGAUUUGAAAUUUUUUAAAUUUUAAAUUUGACCCCGUAACGACUGGAGUCACCGCCAACUGGUGGUGACAAAGAUAGUUAUCUCAAGUAAAAUUAAUACAUGAGAAAUUAUAAUACGCCGGCUCUUAAAAGAGAGUUGUCGCAAUAUCUUUCUGGAUAUGUAGAUGGUGAAGGAUCAAAGGGGAACACCGCACCAUCAAAGGGUUCAGAAAAAUUGUGACCGAUGCUUAUAAAAUGAAUGGUUCAGGUAAACGAAAAUUUACUUCGAAUUACAUUAUAGGCACUCUGUAAGAUGAAGAUAUAGUCUAUGGUUCUACGAAAGUAGAAUAACAUUCAUCAUUGCGCGAUAAAUGAUGAAUAAUUAAACAUGAAGUUCUGACGCGCACGAAUAGUGUAAUGACUGGAGAACUGUCUCGGGGACUUGCUCGGUGAAAAUACAGUACCGGUGAAGAUGCCGGUUACCUGCAGUUAGACGAAAAGACCCCAGGAGCUUUACUGCAACUUGAUAUUGCAUGUAUGUUUUUUAUGCGUAGCGUAGAUGGGAGGAUUUGAAGUUUAUCUUUCGGGGUAGAUGGAUCCGCAAGUGAAAUACCAUUCUUAAAAAAUAUAUUUGCUAACCCGCGCGGAAAAAACGAGCGGGGACAUUAUCUGGUGGGCAGUUUUAGUGGGGCGCUAUCCUCGAGGGUUUAACUUUGUUGAAUCCUCGAUCCGUGGCGCCUCCUAGGUGGUUCACACCAAAACAAAUAAAUUAAGGGGGACUUUCUGUUGUAAAACAGAUUGAAAAAGUUGGUUAUAUCGGUAAAUACCUCAUGUUAUCAUGAGACAAUACCGAGGGAAGUUUAUAAACAUAAACACCCGUAGAGACUAAACGCCGACCAUCCUGCAAAAGGAUGAAGAUAUAGUCCGUCCUGCAUGGCGACAUGCAGUUAACACAGAGCCUAAAAAGUAACGGAGGAGUUUAUUAAGGUCAGCUAGGCGCGAAUGGAAACCGUGCCGAUAGUGUAAUGGCAUAAGCUGGCUUAACUGUAAGACGUACUUGUCAAGCAGAUACGAAAGUAGAACAUAGUGAACCGACCAUGCGCAUUAGAGGCGGUGGGAGAUUAUCGGAUAAAAGCUACCCUGGGGAUAACAGGCUGGUUGUGCCUAAGAGUCCAUAUCGACGGCACAGUUCGGCACCUCGAUGUCGGCUCAACUUAUCCUGGGGCUGGAGAAGGUCCCAAGGGUAUGGCUGUUCGCCAUUUAAAAAGUUACGCGAGCUGGGUUCAGACCGUUCAGAGGCAGAUGAAGGUGGCGGGAAAUUUUCUUUGGAAAUUUCCCGCCUACAAGUCGCCCUUGAACAAUCUGAAUCCUCAGAGGAAUUGUUUGAAAGUUUUUGUUUAUGAAAAAGAAAGUGAAACCAACCAAUCACGGCGGUCAUGCAUCGAAAGGCGCAUGAUUAAAGCUGAUGAAUAUCGGCGGAAUCCGCACAAAAAAUCUGCGGACAAUGUCGAGGGAAGCGAAAGCACCCGUAGAGACUACAUAUCAGCCGUUUACGCACGCAAGUGCGAUGAACGAAGGCAUAGUCCAAUGCAACGAGCAAUCGUUGGGAACAUGCGUGAGACAGGUUGGUCUCCUAUCUACUGCAGGCGUUGAUUCUUGAGGAGAUUUGACUCUAGUACGAGAGGACCGAGUUGAACUGACCUCUGGUCUAUCUGCUGUCCUGCCAAGGGCACCGCAGAGUAGCUAUGUCGGGAAUGGAUAAAUUCUGAAAGCAUCUAAGAAUGAAGCCAACUCCAAGAUUAGGAAUCGUUUGAGACUCGUGAGAGAUGAUCACGUUGAUAGGCUUUAGGUAUAAGCACAGUAAUGUGUUGAGCCGAGAAGUACUAAUAAGUCGAUU
rnacentral:rRNA from 1 species